rnacentral:rRNA from 1 species
AGUGAACACUGGCGGUAGGCCUAACACAUGCAAGUCGAACGGCAGCACAGUAAGAGCUUGCUCUUACGGGUGGCGAGUGGCGGACGGGUGAGGAAUACAUCGGAAUCUACUUUUUCGUGGGGGAUAACGUAGGGAAACUUACGCUAGUACCGCAUACGACCUACGGGUGAAAGCAGGGGAUCUUCGGACCUUGCGCGAUUGAAUGAGCCGAUGUCGGAUUAGCUAGUUGGCGGGGUAAAGGCCCACCAAGGCGACGAUCCGUAGCUGGUCUGAGAGGAUGAUCAGCCACACUGGAACUGAGACACGGUCCAGACUCCUACGGGAGGCAGCAGUGGGGAAUAUUGGACAAUGGGCGCAAGCCUGAUCCAGCCAUACCGCGUGGGUGAAGAAGGCCUUCGGGUUGUAAAGCCCUUUUGUUGGGAAAGAAAAGCAGCAGGUUAAUACCCCGCUGUUCUGACGGUACCCAAAGAAUAAGCACCGGCUAACUUCGUG